UGCAUUCACGACAAGGUCCUAAGCGACAGU
rnacentral:sRNA from 1 species